AAAAUUCCUCGCAAGAACGUUCGACUAAUUACCAGUCGCACUCAGGUAAAUUAAUUCAAUUUCGCAGGUUCUCAUGUUAGUCACCAGAACGGAGAAGCGCGAUACGAUCUGAUCUGAUAGGGAUCGAGGUCCCUUGGCAAAUGCGACGAAGGCACGAAAGAAAUGGCCGAAAAUUCCAUCGCGCGCGACACUUAUCGUAAUCGUUCAUUAACCAAACACCACUUUUCUCGGCCAAUUAUCAAUUACGAUCGUUGCAUGUUGAUUCAUGCUUGUUUCGCGUGACACACGUUUCCGCGAACGUGGCGCAACAAACUUUGAAUUAAAAUUCCACGAUUACACGCCGACAAUAAUAAAUACGUAUAGUAAGUAAAUGCACACAAUACAAUUUUGCACAGUGAAUGUAUAUGUAUAUAUAUAUAUAUAUAUAUAUAUAUAUAUACACGAGAUGGAAUAGAAAAGAAUGGGGAAUGAAUGAAAGGGGAGCAGCCGAAUUUGCGUGAUUGCUAAUUGUGAACGUAGAACCUUUGGCGACGUACUCUCUCCUCCUUUUCCUCUUGCUCGCUUGUGUUCGCGUAUUCAAGUCAGCCAGAUUUUGUGCUCAUUGUCAGAAAGUAAAGACCUCCUCGACACUUGUUGCUCGCCAUCGACAUUUGUCUGCGCGUUCCACUGUUAUAUACGCGUGUGCAUUUCGCUUUCGUGGUUGCAUUCUUUGUCAAGUUAUACGUGUAGAUACGAAUGACUCAAACAUGUAUAGAGAGAGAGAGAGGGAGGGAGAGAAAGGUAGUUAGGACGAGUUAUGAUAAUGCCUACUCUUCUUUUGUCUUAUUUUCUCUGAAUUGUAUGACAAAUGUCUGUAAAAUAAGUAUACAUUAUUGUUAACUAUAUUGUGUCUCUAAUUGAAACGAUUGUUCGUGUGAAAAAGAGUGAGUUUCCCUGCAUACAAUAUUUUAUUCUUUUCUUUUGCAUUUUUAUUUAAUCAUCAAUGAAUGCAAUUCCUUUUUCGUGUUCGAGGGUGGUUUAAAAGUGAUAACGUUUGUUGGAUUUGGGUUAAGUGUGAAUCAAGAAUAGAUUAGAUCAA